ACCUGGUCAACAGCAUAAUAUUAUCAAAUAUUGAGAGUGAUAGUAUUAGUUGUGUGACCAGGAGA
rnacentral:pre_miRNA from 1 species